rnacentral:misc_RNA from 1 species
AAGUCGUAACAAGGUUUCCGUAGGUGAACCUGCGGAAGGAUCAUUAACAAUUGUCCAUUAUGGAUGGUUUAAAAAUCCAUAUCCACCUUCGUGUGCACAACAUCGACAUGUUUGCUUUGGCAGUUUGCAGGGAGAUCCUUUACCGUUUCUCUGUGGAGGGCAAAGGGGGGGUGGGCAGAGAGAGAGAGGAAAGACUGAGAGAAGAUUUGCUUCUCCUCGCUUUUUUUCCAUUCUUCUCAAACCCUUUCCCCCCUUUCCAUCCGGCGCUGCCAGAGUUUUUUUCUUUCAUCUUGACAAACU